AUGCAAUUCUUAUUGAACACUCCAAUGAUGUCCUGCUGCGGGAAUUCUCCAUUUUCCAACUGUGAAUUCAGCAACACCUUGGCUGCGCGAUGCAAUGGUGUUGGAUCUCUCUCCGCCUGUCCAGCUUCCAUCAGAGCUAACAUUGCCCAUGCAGUCGUCACCAGGGACAAGUCAUUGAAGAAUUCAUUGGCAAAUGAAAAACGUGAUGUUGGAGAAAGCUUGUCGAGUCAUAAGAUGUAGCAGAAAAGACUACCAAAUUGGAAUUGUGACUCAAGUUGGAGAGUAAAUAUAUGCCAAAUCUCUCAAAAAUGAUUGAGCUUCUGCACCCUCAAAAUGAAGUUGUGAGCUUUCUUAAGCAUUGGACCAUAUUCCUCGACAAGGUUGGUUGCCAAGAUUGCUUGAACAGAAAAAGCAACAUCCCAUUGUUGAGAUCCGUUGUAUCCCUGUGAUAGGUACAUACUUGUUAAUCUAUAUCAAUAAAUAUGUUUAUAAUCUUCCAAUUUUGACCAAGCAAAACCUCUGUUAGUGUGGUAGCCAAAAGUCUGAUUCAAUCUCUGCAAGAGAAGAAACCUGCAUUGUAACUGAAUACCUGCAUUUUCAUGCCAUCUUCAGCCACCCAGAGGUAAUCUUUAAUUCUUGAAAGGUGACACUUGUAUGCCUCUGAGUUUGGGUCCUCUACCCAACAACAUACCAUGUUUAGUACCUGAUCAAUAAAAUAUACAUCACUUAUUUUGUUUUAGUAAAGGGCCUAUUAGUUUUACUAAGUAGAGAAAAGGUAGGUUUUCGCAUGUUGCCCAAGCCAAAAUCCAAAUCAAUAUAACCUAGACAUGUAAAGCCCACCUAGCUUACAUUUCGAACAUAAGAAGGACCCAUUUUGAAAAUAAUAAUAAUAAUAAUAAUAGGAAAAGAAACUGAAAACUCGGAUAAAUUGAGAUUAAGUUUAUUCGAAACAAGUAGCUACCUUAUUAACAGGGCCAAGGCAAAUAUAACGAGAAUUUUCAUCCUCGUAGUGGAUAUGUUGCAUCACAAUGUCAAGAGCCUUUUGUCUUAGCUUAGAGAAGGGCCAUUUCAUGAGAAAAGGUUCUCCAACCUUUUGAAGACAGCCCCAUAAUAUGUUUUGUAUCAUGGGAUGUGGAUAGUAUAGGUCUUCCUGCAAAAUCAUUUGUCAAAAGGCCAAUUUUAAUAGUCUAAGUAAAAAAAAAAAAAAAAAAGUUUAGGGGCAUGCACUUUAACAUGAUGAAUUACUAUUACACUGAAUAAAGGGGGGAAUGGAUCCCCAACCAAACCUGCCCUUAGUUCUUAGCAAAUGAUGUAUUAGAAUAUUUACUAUACGAUAUAUGGAAAUCUUUUUCUACAUAUCUAUUUGCAUGCCCAGAAGAGCCCUAAUAGACCUUAUAUUUACAUUUCAAAAGUUUGUAUUGGUUUUGAGAAAAUUAAGAUUUUUAUGUGGGAGUGCGAAAAAAGAAAAACGGAAUAUGAUAAAUGGUAUCAACUCUCAAUGUAUAAUAUAAGCUAACAUAAAAAUGGACAUUUGAAAUAAUUUGGAGAAAUUUAUUAAGGGUUUCGUGGUUGUUUGUCCUAAAAAUGAAAAGCUGAUUUCCUAAAGUAGGAUCAAAUAGUCACAAAAUUUUAAAUUAGUGUAGAUAUGAAUUUUCAUGAGCUUUUUUCCGUUUAGCAAUUGCAUUUAAUUAAGAAAAAUUGAAAGAAACCAUUUAUACCAUUAACUAACAGUUGUCAUGUGGCCAAAACUUGGACAUGCUUUAUGUCCAUGUGGCAAAAAAUGACAUGUGACAACUUGGUUUUUUAUUUUCUGUCUACCUCUCUAGUGAGGGAAUCUGAUGCCAGCAGUGGCAACCAUCAGCACGUUGGGGGCAAAUGAGGUGUGAUCAUGUCAGUUCGACUGUUGGUCAAGCUCGUUGGGGCCAAAUUAGCCUUGCGUGGCAUGCUCUAAUACAAGCAAAUUUGAUAAUCAAUAGCUCAGGCUGAAUCAAGCCUUGCUGCGCCAAAAGUGAUAUUACUAAUACUAGGUCAAGUUCACUAUUUGUUAGAGGUCUUCUAGAUUCGGUUUUAGAAUGACCUCUUCUUUGGCAUUUAAGUUUGCAUCUGCAUGUAAAGCAACAGGAAUGCUAAGUUGACCCUUGAUUAUUUCUGGGGAUGAAUGUUUUAUGUUGUGUCUUAAUCUUUGAAUGAUUGAAAUUAUAUA